ACUUAGUAAACUGCAACAGAAGCCAGACGAGUGGGCACAUGUGGGCAGCAACUGCAGUAAACGGACAGACUCUGCUUGAAUAAAUUCUGGCUUUCAGAACAAGUACAACUACAACAUGAUUUUAACCAUAAAUUUUGGGGAAAUUGGAGUCACUCUUGUGGUUGCACAGUUUAUUAGAGAUGAGUAUGCUGUGGUCACCAACAAACUCUCUUGUUGAGCCAACCUAAGCUUACCACUUCUACCAUAACAAUGAAAGAUAAAUUUAGUCUUCACCUCUCAUCAAGAAAACAUCUCUUUGAAACUGACAAAGACCACUACAGAAAACAACCACCAAUCAAAUUCUGAACUUUAGAUUCCAGACCCAUUCUUGCACCUAAGUUCAGGGAGCAUUGAAGAAAAAAAUAAAUAAAUAAAGAAUUAUUCCACAAUUAAUUGUAAAUGGCCCAGUAUAGUAUUAGUCCACUGAUUAUUUUGCAACUCAAGUCUUUACACAUGUCAAACAAAGAAGCAACAAAAAUAGAGGAAUGAAUAAAACUUCAGCAUUCCCAGGAAACAGUAUGUAUUAAAACUUUUAAUCAUUGAUUCUCUUUCAAAAUACAAAUGCCUUUGGAAGGAAAGACACAA